GGGCCUUUAACUUAGCCAGGACCAAAGUGCCAGUCUUAUAAGCUGGAAAUCCCGGGUUCAAAUCCCGGAAGGCCCA
rnacentral:tRNA from 1 species